AUGUUUUCACUACUCUGUCUCAUCUCGGAUCUUCAGCGGCUCCGUUCUCCUCCAUCUCUCUCAAAAUCAAACGGUGUUCUCAACUUCAGACGCCCUCUAUCGUUCAGCUCUUGUGGUGACAUCACUUCUUAUCCUAUUUCAACAAACACCUAUGCUAACCUCCAUAGUCAUCUCGCUCGUUCUCAACACAAAUAA